CAGCUCCGCUUUCAGGUGGGCCGUCAUCUGGAAGGUUCCGUCGUGGUUGGGGAGGGUCUCUCCCAUCUCCACGUCCUCGUAGAGCUCCGUGCCGUCCUUCCUCCAGAAAAGGGCGGAUUUGUAGGGGUAGAAACCCGUCACGUGGCAGGUGACCGGAGAGGAAGGCGUCUUCUGGAGGAGAAACACCGUCGGAAGCUCUGCGGCGAGGAGGGAGAGAACGACUUAGGGGGGGCAAAGACGGCGAGAGAACACGUGGGAGGAGCAAAGAUGGAGAGAAAGUGCGAGAAGAACUUUGCAAGCAGAAAUGUGGGAGGAGAAAUCGGGGAGAGCAGGCGCAA